AAAUAGCUGUACCUUUUUUCUAUGAAUCAUUUGGCUUUAGCUUUUUUCAGAGAAACAUUGAAUUCUGGGUCACUUUGUGACUGAGUACUUAGGAAAAGUUGCACAAUACGUUUCCUGUACUUCUGAUGUGCCAUUUACAUAAAGCCUAAGCAGGGGUCCUGCGUAUGCUGUGUCCCAAAGCUCAGCUGGAACCAACUCUGGGGCAUACAAGGUAAGCAAUCAAGGCAUAGGAGCAUCCCUGGCCUCUUACCUCCUGCCUGAAAGGAAAUCACCAACACUCUGGCCAGUCUGCUGCUAUGAGAGGUUUCGUCAUUUCUGCUGCCUGCGUAAAAGAACAGGAAUAAUUUAGGCUGGUGUUUAAAGUUUGGUCGGUUCCAGUAUUUCCUGGCUGGUUCAGAAAAUGAUUCUGCACUGGGCCUCGUGCUCUCUGCCUGACCUCUGAGUCUUGAUCAACUGUGAAUGGAAAGCAACAGGAGGGACAGGAUUGUGAUUGUGAGGCUAAUCAAUCACGUGGUCACCUAAUCCCAUGUCAAAAGAGGAGCUGGACCCUAUAAAAGGAAAGAACUGUGAAGGCCUGGUGAGUGUUCCUCUAACACUGCCUAUAGGAAAGUCUAUUAUUAAGAAAUCCUUCAGUUUAAUGAAAAACAUUUUUAAAACUUUUCAUUUUGCUUUUGCUUAUGUCAGUCUAGAAAGCCAAGUGAGGGGAAUGAAUUUAUUAUUUCCUUCCAUAUAUGGUUAUGGCUGGUUAUUUAUUUAUUUAUUUUUAUUUAGA